rnacentral:rRNA from 1 species
GAUGAACGCUGGCGGCGUGCCUAACACAUGCAAGUCGAACGUGCGGGGGUACUUGUACUCCCAAAAGUGGCGAACGGGUGAGUAACACGUAGGUAACCUGCCGCGUAGUGGGGAAUAACGACUGGAAACGGUCGCUAAUACCGCAUAGGUCCCCAAAGACGGGAGUUUUUGGGGGCAAAGCUUUAGCGCUCCGCGAGGGGCCUGCGUCCGAUUAGCUGGUUGGUGAGGUAACGGCUCACCAAGGCUGUGAUCGGUAGCUGGUCUGAGAGGACGAUCAGCCACACGGGAACUGAGACACGGUCCCGACUCCUACGGGGGGCAGCAGUGAGGAAUAUUGCACAAUGGGGGCAACCCUGAUGCAGCAACGCCGCGUGGGGGAUGAAGGCCUUUGGGUCGUAAACCCCUUUUCUCGAGGAAGAGCAAGGACGGUACUCGAGGAAUCAGUCACGGCUAACUACGUGCCAGCCGCCGCCGUAAUAC